UUUUUUAAAUAAAAUUGACGGUUACGUCACGUAUUUGAGAAGGAAAUGGAGGAUGGAAGUAAAGAACUGGUUUUCGAUGAAGGUUUACUUUUCUGGGACAAGAUGUCGAAGAAUUUCCAGAAGAAUUAGUUUUAGUUUUAACAUAUUUAAUAUGAUAUGCACCAUCCACCAAUUAAGAGCAUUUCUAGUAAGAGCUGAAGAAUGUGUUAAAGUUAUGUUUAUGGAAGACCAAAACCGCAACCAGUCGUAAGAAAUCAUACAAGAAUGCAUCAAAGAAGAAAGUAUAUUUCAUUGCAAAGGACGAAAAGCAGAAAAUUAAAUGAAGAUGAUUAUCUAUAUAUUUUUGUUGCAAACAGCAUAUAAAUUGUUUAUAGAAAAAUAAACUGUAUAAAUGACAUUAAUUUGUGAUAGUAUUUAUGCCUGUUGGUAAUACAUGUAUUUCUGUGUAUUUGUGAACACA